ACGGAAGGCAGCAGUGGGGGAUAUUGCACAAUGGGGGAAACCCUGAUGCAGCGACGCCGCGUGAGUGAUGAAGUAUUUCGGUAUGUAAAGCUCUAUCAGCAGGGAAGAAAAUGACGGUACCUGACUAAGAAGCUCCGGCUAAAUACGUGCCAGCAGCCGCGGUAAUACGUAUGGAGCAAGCGUUAUCCGGAUUUACUGGGUGUAAAGGGAGCGUAGACGGCGUGGCAAGUCUGAUGUGAAAGCUAUGGGCUCAACCCAUAAACUGCAUUGGAAACUGUCAUGCUAGAGUGUCAGAGAGGUAAGCGGAAUUCCUAGUGUAGCGGUGAAAUGCGUAGAUAUUAGGAGGAACACCAGUGGCGAAGGCGGCUUACUGGACGAUAACUGACGUUGAGGCUCGAAAGCGUGGGGAGCAAACAGGAUUAGAUACCCUGGUA
rnacentral:rRNA from 1 species